GUUACCUUGCUUCCUUGCCUGAGUACUACCUAAUGGUCCCCAAGCUGUCCAAAGCCCUCUGCUCCCUGCAUUACAGGACCCAACAGUGGAAUCAGGUCCUUAUUCUGCCUUUUACCUUCCUUUUACAUCAACACCUAGCCCUUUACCUCCUCUACUUUUUUUGAGACAGUCCUUGUUCCACAUCCCUUUAAAUAGGCUCUUUCUCUCUACCUCCUAUGGUAUAUCCAGGCAAAAUAAUACAAGGUAGUGGAUCCCAAAGGGUUGCUAGGCCACUUCAUCAUUAUACACCUGCACCAUUCAGCAGGAACUCUGGGUACAGGACAACCUAGAGCUGGGACACUAACCAUGUGUGUUUCAGUCUCUGUAACAGUCACUAGAAAGCCAUUAAGGCAGUAUUUAGGCAUAAAUUAGGCAGCAUUUAGGCAGCAUAAAGUCCUCUGUGGUAAAAGUGGAUUUUGGUUCCUCUGAAGCUGGGCUAGAUCAGCAUUGUGCUUUUAAGCUUCUUGACCUGAAUGAGAUUUGCUAUUCCUUUGGGAAAAAUAGGGAGGUUUUGCCACAAAUAGAUGGGACCAUAAAAUCCAGGUGCUUUAAAAACAAAUCAGUCUAUUAGAACUUAAAUUUCGAAGUAAAAAUGAAUCGCUUCUAAGUCGUUAUUGUGUGAGUUUAUACAUUUACUCAUAUGAAACUUAAAGCAAGUCUAGAUACUUUUCAGACCUUGUUUGGAAUAUAAUAAGUGGUGGCCCCUCAUGCCAUGGAAGGAUGAGCUCAAUCUUUCAAGAAAACCAGAAGUCAGUUACUGAUUCAUUUGAUGAAUAAGGUGAAUUAUCAAGUUUCCUGCCAAACCCAGUUGGAAUGCAGCUGAUGGCCCAGCCUGCAGGGCUGAGCAUGGAAGGAAGGAAGUAUUCUCGGGCCAGCGGGCUCAUGGUCCACUCAGAGGCAGAAAGCGUAGAAGAGAUGUCCAAGACAUCCCAGCCAGAUGAAGACUGCCUAGGCUUGGACAAAAGGAGCUUCUCCCACUCCCAGCUCAAAGCAUUCCUGACAAACAAUGUGCAAAAUGAGAAACACACAUGGCCAACGGGAGAUGAAAAAAAAUUCAGCUUCAGGAAUAAUAAAAGAAGUGAAAUUUAGGGAUUUUUGAAGUGAUGAUCACAUUCUGUGCAUGUGGGGAUCCUGGGAGAUAAGUGUUCUCUUUCACUCCUGGUGGUGUUAUGUAUCAGCAAAGACUUUCUCAAAAGAUGUGUAUGAAUUUAUGAAGAUCCCUCAAACAGUUACUACUCUUUGACCAAGUAAUUUAACCCUUGGGAAUCUUUCCAAGAACAGAGUAACAGGAACACAGAUGUACAUGUACUGUUGAUCCAAACUUCGUAAGAAAGAAAGAAAAUGUAUCUUCAUAGACAUAGAC